UACGAAGGGGGCUAGCGUUGUUCGGAAUUACUGGGCGUAAAGCGCACGUAGGCGGACAUUUAAGUCAGGGGUGAAAUCCCGGGGCUCAACCCCGGAACUGCCUUUGAUACUGGGUGUCUUGAGUGUGGAAGAGGUCGGUGGAAUUGCGAGUGUAGAGGUGAAAUUCGUAGAUAUUCGCAGGAACACCAGUGGCGAAGGCGGCCGACUGGUCCAUUACUGACGCUGAGGUGCGAAAGCGUGGGGAGCAAACAGG
rnacentral:rRNA from 1 species